GUGGUGUCGCCCCACGGCCUCCUGAGAGCCACCGGGCGGUGCCGGUGGGAGCCGCGCUGGCGGCUGCUGAGCAGCGGGCGCGGGGGGCACAGCGGAGCCUGGGCGAGGCUCUGCUGGAGCUGCCGGCUGUGCUGCAGCGGGAGGUCCCUGUGCGUGGGGCCGCCGGCCGGGUCCGGAGCGGCAGGAACGAGCGUGUCGCUCGCUGCCCGUGGUGGGAACUGGGGAGCUCCGGGUCCAGCCUCCCGUCAGGCGUGCCCACCUCUCGGGGAACCCUGGCAGCCCCUCGGGAGAACGGGGAAGGUGUGGAGGCCGCAGGUGUUCAGCGUCUCCAACCGACGGUUGGGGAGAGAAAAACAAGUGGGGUUAUAAACGUUUUGAGCCCAAGUGAGUUCUCCGGGGAGAUGUCGAAAGUGAAUAACAGGGCUGAGAAUUAAACUAGAAAAGAAAAACCUGCUUUAAGUUCUCCCCUUCCUAUGCAGUAGAUCUUCCCCCACCUGCCCAAUGAUAAAUACCCAUGCAUAAGCCGUGUGUCAUUCUAUAACCCCUUUGUGUGGUUUUUUGAGCUGUAUUUUGACACAUUCCCCACCCCUCUGUUGGGCAUCUCGGUGGAUUGACUGGCCAGCUGUGUCCCAAGCUGUCAGGUUCUUUGAGCCUGCCAUAAAUAAGGGCAUAAACCUGCUUCGCUUUUGCUACCGUUUGCUGCCAGAAACAGUGCUGCGAAAGAAACGGAGAAGCUUAUGUAUCACUACAGUGGCAGACCAGAGAUGGUGCAGAGCCUAGAGGGUUAAAGCAACAGGAUGAAGUCAGCACAAAGCAGCCCACAAAGACUGGCAAAUAAAUAAAUCAUCCUAACUACGUUAUUAUUAUGGCUUGCCUGAGGUUCAUUGUCUCUUUCUUUCUUACCUGAAUGUCUGUUACAUUUUUCUCCUUGUUCAAGAGAGGCAAUCAAAGGAGACUGUGAGCACUAAAUGGCUCCUGCCCAUUUUGGAUGUUGCUAAAAAUACUACCUUACCUCUCCAUAUCCAGAGGUCAAUUGAAAAAUCAAAAUAAUGAGUUCAGCACCCUCCUCUGCACUGAUGGCUGUAGCUGAGCUACAGGCUUCCCCAGGCACUUGGAAAUUGCAUUUCUUGAUACAGCUUUAUAAGACUGGCAGAUGUGUUCUGCACAGUUCUGUCCUCUUCUAGCUCUAAGGCAGAUAAAACUAGCUGUGGUGCAGCUAAAGGAGAUGUGUUUAAUGCAUUGCAGUUUGGGUACAUGUCUGUACCUGCCUCUGCUUGUCUUGAGGAAAGGUACCACUGCAGCCCAUUACCCACACAGAACCUUUACAGUCCUAGAUAAGAUGAAAGAGUGGAAAGGUAUUUCAUGAACAAGGGCACAAUGUCUACAUGCAAAGAAAAGACAAACCAAAGCAUAAAUCCUGGAAUUGAUGGAGAAUCUGACCAAUUAAAAGACUUUGAUCAGGAACGAGAGAGUAGAAGGGAAAAAACAGAGCAGGGCAGUUCUCAGUGCCUUUCACAUUCAAGCCCCCAAGUCCUGGCAGUGCCUGUUAAACUGCAAGCCAUGCACUGAGAAUGGUUCACCAGGAGACCAGAAAAGGCCCACAGCUGGUCUGUGAGACUACAGUUAGGAGUAUGAGAUGUCCUUGACAGCAUAUAUAAGGAAUACUUGCUCUACAGGUCACUGCAGAAGGACUUGUAAUGGCACUGGAGGGUGGGAGGUUUAAAUCAAGCUCAGCUAGAAUCACCUCUCCCUGUGAUCUGCUCCGGACUAAGGUAGUAGAGACAAGACUUUUAUUGUAUAAUGGGGAUGACACAAGUGCUCAUACUUCCCUGUUGUAUGCAGGGGAAAAUGCAGAGGUGGACCAGUGAAGAAUUCAAUCACAUCAUAGUACAUUUUCAGAAACAGUUGAGGUAGCCAUUUGGGAUCUUCUAGAAAUCUUCCUUUAGGACUUGCCCAGCCCUGCACUAAGUUGAUGAGCCACACUCUUCCAUCCUUUUUGUUUCUCUGCCCAACUCCCUUCGUCUCUUUUCGUUUUUGUACUCUUUUCGUUUUUGCACUCUUUUCAUUUUAUGUACUCUUUCCUUCUGUUUAGCUUUGUUUCCCAGGCACCUUUUCCAUGCUUUCUGCCAACCAAACCAAACCAAACCUAACUGAACUCCAAGAACAUCCCGUGGAAUUAAUGAAUCAGAUGAUGAAUUUGCAGUUUGUACUGUUGUUGACUAAAGUAAAUACAAUGAUGUGAGAAAAAGCAACGAAUAUAAUAUAUAUCUCAGACCUGUGUUACAUGGGACUGUUUUUUAUCAUUCUCUCGCAAGCUCCAAGCAGGACAGGGCACACUUAAGUGUUCUCCUGAACUUCGGAUGUUUGAUGGCAGGUUUGCAAGAUUCAAAACGUUUGAUUUGUUGGGCAGUGCCUUUUGGAAAUGGAAAACGCGGAAGAAAACACAUAAGAAAAAAUAGUGUUGCCUCUGAAGACUUGAAUGGAAUAUAAAUUGUCUUUCAUGGCCAAUAUAAAUCUAUGAGGGCUAUGCCUCUACAGGAUAAUGAUAGAGAUGCUUACAAGGACAAUAAUUCAAGUUUCUAUUUUUGCUGGAUGGCUGUCUUCCUUUAAUUGUACCUGACUCAUAAAAUAAGCUAUGUGGUCUUUUACUACUGAGUUUUGUAGUCUCUCACUGCUAACUUAUAUAGUCAUUCCAGAGUCCUGUCUGUAGUGUGAUGUAUACUUAUCAAAUCUGCAAUCAGGCACAACUUGUAUAAUGAUCUGAAGCACUGUGGCACAACUGAUUUUUUACAUCAGCAUUACAGCCUAUCUGACAGAGACAACUGCAUAUUUCUGAUGUAUUUUUGGGGACACUCUCUCCUUAUGUGUUGUCAGAACUGCUUUAUCUGUGAAACACCUUUCUCUCCCCUAGCAGCUUGAAAAUCCUUAAGGCGUAUUACCAUUAGAAGAGGGGACUUGCACAUAAUGUGAUGACAACAUCCAUUAGCUCUUCUUCAGAAAAAAAAAAAACAACUAAACAAAAAAAUCCCCAUACUGUAGGUAAUACGGCACUGAAGAUCUUUCAGGAAAUUCUUUACCAAAAAUUAUCUGCCAGAUGGUUUAUGCUACAGGGAAACAAAUGGUAGGGAAAGAAUAAGGCAAGAAUUAAUAAAGCAUAAAUCCCCAAAUCCUGAAAAUGUAAAUCCAGUAUCUACUUGAGCUAUGUGAGGGGAGCAAACCACAUUCUGUUUCACUAUUAUCUCUUCUGAAAACAUUCUCUGCUAAAGGUGAGAAGAAAAACUUGCCUGUAUGUCUAUUGGACCAUACCAUUUGAUUUAUUUAUAAAUUUGUCACUCUUUUACUUGUACCCACUCAUAUUUGUAGUUCUUUGGUGGCUGACAAGCAAUAACCAGAACGCAUACUUGUCAGCACAGCUAACCUACUCCAACUUGAAAUCUUGGCUAAUGGCUAAGGUGGGUUCUUAACUAAGUUUUCCUACCUUCUGUUCAGUUUUUACAUCAAAUACUGCAUAUUGCAUCCAGAUUUUGAUAAUGUAAGACACUACUUCAGCCAAAUGGCCUCUAUGGGUGAGGCAGAAACAUUUUUUAUUUUCUAGGGCAAUUAAUUAGACAUCUGCACUGUCACUCCCACACUUAAAUUAAUCUCCAUAUGUUCAGUUAUCAUACAGGGGAAAAAAAAAGAAAAAGAAGAAACUGAAAUGAAAAAUCAUAGUCACAGAUAUGCAAUGUAUUUUUCAGACACCUAAAUUUCUGUCAGCCUGUUGGGAAUUCAUAACCUCUUUAUUACAUACUUAACUAACCAACACACCUCAUAAUUUCCACACAAACAAUGGCCCUGUUGCUUCUCAUCAUGUAUUUAAAAUAGAGGGUGAAAAAACCAGAAGUCUCACUUAUGAGAUUUUAGUACUUUUAUUACAUGCAGCUUAGGAUAGUUACUAUUUACCCGUGAAAUACUACUUCUAAUUUAAACAUCACUUCUCAAAUUACUUGUUUUGUGAUAUAUUGUCUUUGGUUAAUUUAAUUCUUGUUUCAUUUCCUUGUUAAUUUGGAAAGCAAAAUCUGUAUGUUCUUGCUAAUUUUUCCAAAUUGCCAAAAAAAAAAAAAAAAAAAAAAAAGAAAA